UCAACCUGAUUUCAAUCAUAUAGAAGGGAGCACAGACCUGUAUUUCCGGACCUGGGUUACGAAGACCGAUCCAUCCUUGACUAUCAGUCUAUACUGCCUGAGCUGCAAAAAUUAAACCCAGUCCACAAAUUCCUGAAGAGGGUUCCAGAGGGCGGGAACGACAGAAUACGUGCCAGAGAAGGCCAGCGUGAAGCGGCAACAGUGGCUAGUGCUGAGAAAUGAGAGAACCCACGUUAGUGUCUCCAGAUUUUAUGCAACGGUGGGAAAUAAGGAGAGGCAGAAACGCCGUCCUCCAUUUGACAGAGGCACAAGGAAGGACGUAGGACUCUGCCAGAAGAAAAUUUCCAUGGUGUUGCCAAUUCCCAAACUCCUGCUGUGGAGGUGGUUCUAAGGCAUGCUCAGUGUCCGAACGAGGGAUCUGAAAGCUGCUGUUGGGAAUAAAACAUUGAUCCUCAUGGAAAUUUGACCCAACGGACUAAGAACGUCGUCAAAAAUCCUCCAUUCAGUCAACCCUGAAGAUGGUCAAGGUAAAACCAAACCAAGAAAGACACAAAAGACGACUGGGGAAAGAGUAUUCAAAGGAGCUGCAAGGCAAACGAUCAGUGACUUUGAAAAUGGAAAAAAGAAGCCGGUGGCACCGUGGAUAGUUGAAAUUGUCAAAGGUUAUCCUGAGGAGACGUGGAAGGGAACAGCAUUUUGAAAAAAGAAACUCCAAUAAGGUGACCAGGACCGGAGCCAAGGUAGUUGUCAUUUAGAUGGAGAGGAAGGGGGCGAUCCAGGAAAUGUUGCAGAGAGAAAACUGAGGAUCUAACAACCGGCUGACCAUGAGAAGUGAGAGAAAACAUAAUGGGCUGAUCUCGAUGGAGGAGUUUCCCCGGAUGUGGCAGCUCUUCAACGCCCACCACCACGUCAACAGGCACCACCUUCGCCCACCUGGGCCAGAGCGUGGACCUCAACAAAGACGGCAGCAUCGACUUCAGCGAGUUCCUGAAGGCCUUCCACGUGGUCCACCGGCACAGAGCGCCAGGGAGGAAACCCCCUAGCCCGCCGCCGAAGACGAGACGUGGUAGCCGCCAGAACCACCCGCCCUGUCCUCCCCUCCCCGGGCUGAUAGGGGCCGACGGAGAAGUCGCCGGGGAGAAGAGACUCAUCGCCCAGACAGAGCCGUCCGCGGGAAGACUGAAGGUCCACGACCCGGCUCCGACCGAGCGGCCGAGGGUCCCGAGGGCGCCUCCCUGCAGCCUCCGCGCCACGGACAACCGCAA